rnacentral:rRNA from 1 species
UAGUCAUAUGCUUGUCUCAAAGACUAAGCCAUGCAUGUCUAAGUAUAAAUGGUAUACAGUGAAACUGCGAAUGGCUCAUUAAAGCAGUUAUAGUUUAUUUGGUAAUCGAAUUUACAUGGAUAACCGUGGUAAUUCUAGAGCUAAUACAUGCUGUAAGCCCGACUUUUCGGAAGGGCCGUAUUUAUUAGAUAACAGACCAAUGCCCCCCCGGGCUUUGUGGUGACUCAUAGUAACUAAUCGGAUCGCAUGGGCCUGUCCCGCGACAAACCAUUCAAGUUUCUGCCCCAUCAGCUUUCGAUGGUAGUGUAUUGGACUACCAUGGCUUUUACGGGUAACGGAGGAUUAGGGUUCGAUUCCGGAGAGGGAGCCUGAGAAACGGCUACCACAUCUAAGGAAGGCAGCAGGCGCGUAAAUUACCCAAUCCUAAUUCAGGGAGGUAGUGACAAGAAAUAAUGGGUCGGAACUAACGUUCCGGGACCGCAAUGAGAUGAAUUUACACCCCUUUUCGAGGAUCAAUU